rnacentral:rRNA from 1 species
UACAGAGGGGGCGAGCGUUGUCCGGAAUUACUGGGCGUAAAGGGCGCGUAGGCGGCCAACUAAGUCAGACGUGAAAUCCCUCGGCUCAACCGGGGAACUGCGUCUGAUACUGGAUGGCUUGAAUUCGGGAGAGGGAUGCGGAAUUCCAGGUGUAGCGGUGAAAUGCGUAGAUAUCUGGAGGAACACCGGUGGCGAAGGCGGCAUCCUGGACCGACACUGACGCUGAUGAGCGAAAGCCAGGGGAGCAAACGGG